AAUCAACGCUGGCGGCGUGCCUAACACAUGCAAGUCGAACGCGAGAGGGGCUUCGGCCCCGAUUGAGUGGCGAACGGGUGAGUAACGCGUGGGUGACCUACCUUCGAGUGGGGGAUAACGUCCCGAAAGGGACGCUAAUACCGCAUAACAUCCUGCUUUUGAAUGGGUGGAGAUCAAAGCCGGGGAUCGCAAGACCUGGCGCUUGAUGAGGGGCCCGCGUCUGAUUAGCUAGUUGGGAGGUAACGGCCCACCAAGGCAACGAUCAGUAUCCGGCCUGAGAGGGCGGACGGACACACUGGGACUGAGACACGGCCCAGACUCCUACGGGAGGCAGCAGUGGGGAAUUGUUCGCAAUGGGCGCAAGCCUGACGACGCAACGCCGCGUGGAGGAUGAAGGUCUUCGGAUUGUAAAACUCCUGUUGCCCGGGACGAAUGGCUCCGACCUAACACGUCGGAGUGUGACGGUACCGGGUGAGGAAGCCCGGCUAACUCUGUGCCAGCAGCCGCAGUAAC
rnacentral:rRNA from 1 species